rnacentral:rRNA from 1 species
UACGUAGGUGGCAAGCGUUGUCCGGAUUUAUUGGGUUUAAAGGGUGCGUAGGCGGUUGUAUAAGUCAGUGCUGAAAUAUCCCGGCUUAACCGGGAGGGUGGCAUUGAUACUGUACGACUUGAGUAAAGUUGAGGUUGGCGGAAUUGACGGUGUAGCGGUGAAAUGCUUAGAUAUCGUCAAGAACACCGAUUGCGAAGGCAGCUAACUAAGCUUUAACUGACACUGAGGCACGAAAGUGUGGGGAUCAAACAGG